GUUGUUGUGGCCGAGUGGUUAAGGCGACGGACUUAAAUUCUUUUGGGAUCUUCCCGCGCAGGUUCGAAUCCUGCCGACAUCG
rnacentral:tRNA from 1 species